AUUGAACGCUGGCGGCAGGCCUAACACAUGAAAGUCGAACGAGUGGCGGACGGGUGAGUAAUGUCUGGGAAACCGCCCGAUGGAGGGGGAUAACUACUGGAAACGGUAGCUAAUACCGCAUACCAUCGGAUGUGCCCCGAUGGGAUUAGCUAGUAGGUGGGGUAAAGGCUCACCUAGGCGACAAUCCCUAGCUGGUUUGAGAGGAUGACCAGCCACACUGGAACUGAGACACGGUCCAGACUCCGACGGGAGGCAGCAGUGGGGAAUUUUGCACAAUGGGGGAAAGCCUGAUGCAGCCAUGCCGCGUGUAUGAAGAAGGCCUUCGGGUUGUAAAGUACUUUCAGCGAGGAGGCGUUACUCGCAGAAGAAGCACCGGCUAACUCCGUGCCAGCAGCCGCGGUAAUUC
rnacentral:rRNA from 1 species